UACGUAGGCAGCAAGCGUUGUUCGGAAUUACUGGGCGUAAAGAGUGUGUAGGCGGUGCUCCAAGUCUGGUGUGAAAUCUCCCGGCUCAACUGGGAGGGUGCGCUAGAAACUGGAAUGCUAGAGGAUGGGAGAGGUAAGCGGAAUUCCUGGUGUAGCGGUGAAAUGCGUAGAUAUCAGGAGGAACACCGAUGGCGAAGGCAGGUCUCUGGGCCACUACUGACGCUGAGAAGCGAAAGCAUGGGGAGCGAACAGG
rnacentral:rRNA from 1 species